GGAAAAUUGCACGGGGUUAUGCAAUUCCCUUCUCUAUUGGUAAUCAGUUUUAUGAGAAGCAUUUGGAUGAAAUUUCUAUCUCAAGUUUAAGGCCUGCAAAUUCUUCAAUUUUGAAUGAGGUAGAGAUUUCUGCUGAAGGGAUCUAUAAUGAUAAAUCAGGAGGCUUGUGUAUUGCAGGCUGUAGGAUUCUGGACUUGGAUAAUGAAACAGAUUCUUCGGACUGCGAAUUCUUCUGAAAUUUCAGUUGCAUCCAUUGGGAGAAGAGAAGAAUGAGAGUAACAUUAAGGAGUGUUGAAAGCUUACAGGAAAAAACUGAUUCUCUUUACUUUGAUCCUUUG
rnacentral:misc_RNA from 1 species